rnacentral:rRNA from 1 species
UCAGGUGGUUAUAGCACGAGGGUUCCACCUCUUCCCAUUCCGAACAGAGAAGUUAAGCCUCGUCACGCCGAUGGUACUGCGUAACAGUGGGAGAGUAGGUACCGCCGUUU